UACGUAGGGUGCAAGCGUUGUCCGGAAUUAUUGGGCGUAAAGAGCUCGUAGGUGGCCUGUCGCGUCGGCUGUGAAAACCCGGGGCUCAACCCCGGGCCUGCAGUCGAUACGGGCAGACUAGAGUGCGGUAGGGGAGACUGGAAUUCCUGGUGUAGCGGUGAAAUGCGCAGAUAUCAGGAGGGACACCGGUGGCGAAGGCGGGUCUCUGGGCAUUAACUGACGCUGAGGAGCGAAAGCAUGGGGAGCGAACAGG
rnacentral:rRNA from 1 species